CGUGUAAUCGAAGUGAAGGUCUUAGGAUUGUAAAAUUCUUUCAGCGGGAAGAUAAUGACUGUUACCCGCAGAAGAAGCUCCGGCUUAACCUUCGUGC
rnacentral:rRNA from 1 species